rnacentral:rRNA from 1 species
UACGUAGGGGGCAAGCGUUGUUCGGAAUUACUGGGCGUAAAGGGCGCGUAGGCGGCAGGCCAAGUCGGGAGUGAAAGCCCGGGGCUCAACCCCGGAAUGUCUUUCGAAACUGGCCAGCUGGGGUGCGGAAGAGGCAACUGGAAUUCCCAGUGUAGCGGUGAAAUGCGUAGAUAUUGGGAAGAACACCUGAGGCGAAGGCGGGUUGCUGGGCCGACACUGACGCUGAGGCGCGAAAGCCAGGGGAGCAAACGGG